rnacentral:lncRNA from 1 species
UUCCUCCUCCUGGGAGCCCAGAACAAUGUAUAACCAUACUCAAAGUUGAAAGGGGGAGAAGAGGUAACCGAAAUGAGCCAUUUUGUGCACCUUUAUUUGGUUCUUUUUUUUUUUUUUUCCCCAGAGCUGGGGACCGAACCCAGGGCCUUGCGCUUCCUAGGCAAGCGCUCUACCACUGAGCUAAAUCCCCAACCCCGUGAGCCAUUUUGUAACGGUAAUUUUCAGUCUGUUUCCUCGCCAAUGGCGCACUUUCAUUAAUUGGUUAUUAUGGGACUUUAAUUGGGUUUUAAACAGUAUCAAUAAGCUAAAGGCAAACAUUCAGUGUCUACUCUCAGCUGACAUGGACUCUUCUAGUUUUAUCUACAUAUUUAUGUGGAGAGACUGUUUGGGUGAGAUCUGCUCAGAGACUGCGUCCAGAGAGGUUUGCAAACUGUUUUCCUUCUUAAACCCUGUGUAGUGGUUUCAGAUGAUUUUGUUUAUCUCGUGGAUAUUGGAUGUUUACUCCUUGUCAUUUGCUGUGUGUUGACCCAGUUUUAAUUUUCAGUGUUAACUCAAAGUGUUCGUUUUAGCAAUGAUGCAGAGCCCACCAGUGAUAGGAAUAAGAGUAUGGUAGAGAAGUUUGCAUUGGGUUUUAGGCUCUUCACAGCUGUGUUACCUAGAAUUCCAUGGACUCUGCAUGAUGUGUGUGGCACCCUGGUCCAUGCAGUUGUUUGUUUCCAAGACUUAACCCUGACAACUCAACACUGAUAACUAAUAGUCUAAGAAAGAACUUCUUCCCGCCUUUCCACUCUACUUUAAAAAAAAUUAAUUAUGUAAAACUGAAUGCAGUUUCUUAUCCUGUGCUGACAGGAUGCCUCUGUAGGACACAGCCUAGAUGACAGUCAGACCAAUGACAAGUAAGAAAUAUGCCAGCAGUGUGGUAGCUUGUGCAUAUGACCCUAAGGGGGCAGAGCUGGGCCAGGGAGACCCCUACUUCUGCACCAUCUUGGGCUAUACCCCUAUAUUCCCAACUACCAGGGAGGCUGAAGCAGGAGGAUCACCUGAGGACUUAGGUGAUUCCCAAGUUUAAAGUGAGACUGGGCAACACAGUAUGAUCCAGCCUUAAAAACAGAAUUGUAGCUGAGUGUGUGCUGAUACACAGUUUCAUCCCAGCACUCAGGAGGCAGAGGCAGAUGGACCUCUGAGUUAGAGGCCAGCCUGGUCUACAGAGAGAGAGUUCUAGGACAGCCUGGACUGCACAGAGAAGCCCUGUCUAGGGGGCUUAGAGGGAAUAUAUUUAUAGUUUUCAGUUUCAAAAUUUAUGUUGUGGCAAAUCAUAAAUAUUUCAUUAAUGGUAAACACUUGACUUUGAGCUUACUUUAUAGAAAAUUUUGAGUUCUUUUAAGUUUUUUGUUUUGUUUGGGAGUAAGACUCAAAUGUACAAGUCAAAUGUGUGUAGCUCUUGCUGUCUUGGAACUUGCUAUGAAGACCAGGCCUGCCUCUGCCUCCUGAAUGCAGGGACUAACGGCAUGUGCCAAUACACUGGGCUCUUUUAACCUUGUUUUAAUCAACUUUGGAGCAAGAUGUUCUUUAAUUAAUGAAAAAAUUAAGGCUCUUUCACAAAGGGAAAUCUUUUAUAGCAUUUUCCUCUAAAUCAACGUUAUGUGAAGAUUAGAAUUCUCAGAUAAUUUGCAGAAACUUUUUUUUUUAAGUCACUGACUUGUGGGACAUUGAGAUGACUCAGCAGGUAAAGGUGCUUGUGCCAAGCCUGAGUUCAGUUCCUCAUGGUAGAAGGAGAGACCUGGCUCUCACGAGUUCUCUGAUCCCCUGUGUGCAUCAUGUACACUCAUGCCCCAUGCUAAAUAGAUAAGUAUAGCAAACUUAUCAGCGUUUAAUAUCACUCAGAGGCAGAGCAGAAGGACUGUGGGCUAGAGGCCGGCUUGGGCUGCUAAUGAGGCCCAUCUUGGGCUACAUGGAAAGAUCCUAUUGAAAAAUCCAAAAAAGUGACUAAUGGCAAAAGUGACAAACGACAAAAUGUCUGAGGUUAAGGUUUCCUCUGUCAGAGGCUGGACUUAUGCACGGAGAGGCUGUCUUUUGCUGGGAUUGUGGGAUUUAACUCUUCCCAAGACAUGCAAAACCCAUGGGAAAGUCGAAUGUGUGUGCAUUUCAGAUCCAGCUCUAGAUUGUCUGGGCUGGAGUAUUCUGUAUGGCCUGGUAGACGGGAAUGUUCUGCACGUAAAUCAUGUAUCUUCAGAUGGGACAUCUCUUAAGUAUUAAUGUUGUGUGUACAGACUGGGAUUUUUCUUUUGCCUAAAUAAAUGUUACAAAUUUUAUGUAAA